UACAGAGGGUGCGAGCGUUGUCCGGAAUCACUGGGCGUAAAGAGCGUGUAGGCGGCUAUACAGGUCCGCUGUGAAAACUCGAGGCUCAACCUCGAGACGUCGGUUGAAACCGUAUGGCUAGAGUCCGGAAGAGGAGAGUGGAAUUCCCGGUGUAGCGGUGAAAUGCGCAGAUAUCGGGAAGAACACCCGUGGCGAAGGCGGCUCUCUGGGACGGUACUGACGCUGAGACGCGAAAGCGUGGGGAGCGAACAGG
rnacentral:rRNA from 1 species